GAUGAACGCUAGCUACAGGCUUAACACAUGCAAGUCGAGGGGCAGCAUGAACUUAGCUUGCUAAGUUUGAUGGCGACCGGCGCACGGGUGAGUAACACGUAUCCAACCUGCCGAUGACUCGGGGAUAGCCUUUCGAAAGAAAGAUUAAUACCCGAUGGCAUAGUUCUUCCGCAUGGUAGAACUAUUAAAGAAUUUCGGUCAUCGAUGGGGAUGCGUUCCAUUAGCUUGUUGGCGGGGUAACGGCCCACCAAGACAUCGAUGGAUAGGGGUUCUGAGAGGAAGGUCCCCCACAUUGGAACUGAGACACGGUCCAA
rnacentral:rRNA from 1 species